GCCUCUCAGGGUUCAGCAUCCUCAUCUCUCAAAAACAAAAUGAAAAGAAACCAUAUGACCAAUUGAGGUUAAACAGAAAUGCUCUUAUUUUUUAAAAGACAGAUGCUGAAAUGUUUAGGGUGAAAUGGCAUGAUGUCUACAAUUUACUUUAAAAUACUUUGGGGGGAAGGAAAGGAUAGGGCAAAAUGUGGCAAAAUGUCAACAAUUGUUAGAUCUAGGUGAGGGUAUAUAAGGCUCCCUAUUCUAUUCUCUCUCUAUCUCUCUGUGUGUUUGGAAACGUUCCUAAGAAAAAGUCAAAAAAAUAAAAAAUAAAAAAAGAAAGCCUCGGUGACGUGAGCCAAGAGCCCCACAAACAAUGCCCCGUGCUCCUGGGGAGCCUGAAAGGCAGCUAGGUCUCUCAAGUAGGUUAAACAUCCCCCCCGCCAGCUCCUUUAUGUGGUUUCCCUAGAAAUCGCUUUUGCACGAAUUCCACAGAGUCCUAACUGCACACGGAGAGGCCUCAGCACAUCCAGGAGCCAGACACAGCACUUGGGCGAGGCAACCGUCCUCUCCCACCCCCCCCCCCCCGCCGCCGCCCCCCACCUGCCAUCUCCCUGUCCCUUCUGCAGAGCAGAAGUCCUCCCGGGGCCCGGAGGCUGGGGACUGUGAUGCUAGCUCGGUCCUCAGGUGGUCACCGCCCUCUCCCAGCCUCAGAAGGCCCCCACCCAUUAAGCACCAGGGAGGACAAGUCAGCAACGGCCUGGCCAUCCCACUCAAAGGCACAGGGUUGCCCUACGAAGAGGCUGAGAUCCCCGCCAAUGGAUGGGAUCGCGGAGCUUCAGGGCCAGAUGAGCCUGGAGGCCGACCCGAGAAGGCGGGGACGGAGGGAGGCAGGAGUGAGCAAGACUGUACCCCAGUCACCCCUCCUCUCCAGCCCUCCACCCCCACCCUGGCGGCUCAAAGGGUAGCUAGCCUGCACCCCCUUUUCUCUGGCUCUUCUCUAUGGAGCAUCCGGGGCGGGAGUGAACAACCGUGGUCACAAUCUCCCAGCCAGGCCCCGCCGACCCACGCCAACGCCGUGGGCCCACCUCUACCGACCGAGGGUGGAGGAGCUAUCAGGGCCCCAAAUAAUCGAUCGCCAAUCGCCGAACGCCAUGCAAUUCACUGGGGAGACUUACGAGCAGCCAGUGACGGGGCGCCGCCGCCCCAGCCCGGUGGAGCCUCCGGGGGCAGGAAGGGCUGUGUCUGCGGGGAGCACCUCAGCCUGAAAAGCCGCCCAUCACUCAGGUGCCUUCCCAGUAGAUGCCCUGGCCUUGCCUGCGUCCCCGGGCCCGGGACGCAGGACCCAGCGGCACCUGAAGGA
rnacentral:lncRNA from 1 species